rnacentral:rRNA from 1 species
AUUGAACGCUGGCGGAAUGCUUUACACAUGCAAGUCGAACGGCAGCACGGGUGCUUGCACCUGGUGGCGAGUGGCGGACGGGUGAGUAAUGCAUCGGAACGUGCCGUAUAGUGGGGGAUAACGCAUCGAAAGGUGUGCUAAUACCGCAUACGCCCUGAGGGGGAAAGUGGGGGACCGUAAGGCCUCACGCUAUACGAGCGGCCGAUGUCCGAUUAGCUAGUUGGUGGGGUAAAGGCUCACCAAGGCGACGAUCGGUAGCUGGUCUGAGAGGACGACCAGGCACACGGGGACUGAGACACGGCCCAGACUCCUACGGGAGGCAGCAGUGGGGAAUUUUGGACAAUGGGGGCAACCCUGAUCCAGCCAUUCCGCGUGAGUGAAGAAGGCCUUCGGGUUGUAAAGCUCUUUUGUCAGGGAGGAAAUCCUUAGCGUUAAUACCGUUGGGGGAUGACAGUACCUGAAGAAUAAGGACCGGCUAACUACGUGCCAGCCGCCGCCGUAA